rnacentral:rRNA from 1 species
UACAGAGGGGGCGAGCGUUGUUCGGAAUUACUGGGCGUAAAGGGCGCGUAGGCGGCCCGCUAAGUCGAACGUGAAAUCCCCAGGCUCAACCUGGGAACUGCGUCCGAUACUGGCAGGCUUGAAUCCGGGAGAGGGAUGUGGAAUUCCAGGGUGUAGCGGUGAAAUGCGUAGAUAUCUGGAGGAACACCGGGUGGCGAAGGCGGCAUCCUGGACCGGUAUUGGACGCUGAGGCGCGAAAGCUAGGGGAGCAACGGGG